UUAAUUUAAUUGCAUGUGGACUCAGACAGCACUAAUUAUUCAGAAUAAAUGGGGCCUCUGGCGGACCGACCGCGGCCGGAUCCACCGAAGCAACAGAGGUAUAUACACAAAGGGUGGGAGGGUUGGGCCCCGGAGGACCCUAUCUCGAUAAUGAUCCUUCCGCAGGUUCACCUACGGAAA
rnacentral:misc_RNA from 1 species